rnacentral:lncRNA from 1 species
GGAUUUUACUACAUCCCGGGCGUUCUUUGUCAGUGCCCGCGAUCACAAUUAGAAUUACCAGCGGUUGAGUUCGCAACUCAAUAUUCAAACAUUUUCAACCAGAUAAAAAAAGAUUAAAACUUUUUUAAAGCACUUUAGAUUUUAUACCAAUCCCAAACACUAACCGGCCUAACUUUUAAGAGUUAAAAAAGGAAGGAAGAAAAAAAUUAAAAAAAAUUGAGAAAAAGAGCUAAAUCAGAUAAUAAAUGUUCGGCAUCGAUCCCGACCCCGACUGCGUUUCACUUCCGGUACGCAGCGCCUUUACCGCUUGAGCUAACGACAAACUUGGUGAAGAUUACUGCAAACAAAAGUUUUUAUAUUGCUACAAAAUACGAAAUAACUCCCGUCUGUCCAGUCACUUGGUUAUUUUUUGUUUGAG